ensembl:lncRNA
AAGCACCCAGAGGAUAUGUUGAGCAAAGCUGGAGAAGCUUCAGCUUAAGAGAUCAUUGUUGGCAUUGCUGUGAUUCUUUAUGUGAUUCACUGACUUGGUGAGUAAAGUGUUACUCUUAUUCAAACUGGUUUUGUGCCUUCUCUCAGAUUAGCACCAGGUUUAUAAACUUGCUAGCUAGCUAGUGUUAGACUGGUGUUGCCUCUCGGCUCAUGGUGCUUAAAUUAACCCACAGCUUAAAAAACCUUAUAUAAAAUCUCUCAGUGAAAUUUUCUGUUGAUUGUUUGAAAUAGAAAAGUGAGCAGCUACUAGAUAAGAGCCGAGACGAAACUUUUUCUGAAGGUGCAGCCGUUAGGGGUGGGGCUUGUUUUAAUCCACUUUUAUAACAUGGACUGUACAUUCUUAACCUCUGUAUUUAUUUUAAUUUUUUAUGGUUGUUUUUGGACAUCUGUGACAUCUAUUAAUGUUAAAUCUAGUCUUUCUUUAGCGACAUAAGCAAACUGUUUUUACAUUUAAUGAACAUUUCUGUUUUAUCCAUCCAUCCAUCUUCUUCUGGUUAUCCAGGGCUGGGUCAUGGGGAAAGCAGCCUAGGCAGAGAAGCCCAGGCCUCCCUCUCCUCAGCCACCUCCUCUAGCUUGUCCGGAGGAACACCAAGGCAUUCCCAAGCCAGCCAGCUGAGAGAUGUAAUCUCUCCAGCGUGUCCUGGGUCUGCUCCUGGCUCUACUCUGAGCCCCUCCCGUAUGGCCGAACGUCUCACCCUAUGUAAUGAUGACAUUUCAAUUAUGUGUUUUAAAAAGAGACCACCUAUUUCUUUGAGGCUCUGAAUCAGCACUCCACACAUCACAUCAAACUCUUACAAGUCUAGAAGAGCAGCUGUUGGACAGAAAGACAUCAGCUGAGUGGGAAGGAUUUUGACCUGAGAUGUGACUGCUCUGUGCUGUUGCUGAUGACUCCAGUUAAUCCUACAAGACAUGCUGUAUCAUCAGAAUGAAAGUUAUUGGCCAUGUUUGCAGAGCCCUUUUUAAAAAUAUGCUUUCAUGACAUUAUUGUGUAUCGGCUGGCUAUCCAGACUGACAAGUGGGACAGUGAAUGUCACCUCUCCAGUGGGGAGGGAGUCUGAGAUUGAGAGUGUAAACUGAGGACACCAGGAGAGAGGAGUCGUUCAUCACAGAAGGUGUGGUCAGUGAAGAUGGUCACCGGCAGGUCGAAGGUCAUUGCAUCUCCAGCCCACAUCCACUGACACUGUACUGAAGGGAUGUUAAGACUUUCUUCUGCACUUACACUCUAAAAACUAAAACUGAGAUUUACUUAAAAAUUUUGAAGCAAUUUCUUUAGAGGCGGAGAAGGCCUUUGACAGGGUCGAGUGGGAUUAUCUCUUCUCGACCCUGUCGAGGUUCGGAUUUGGCCCUAAAUUCAUUUCUCUGGUUAAACUACUAUACAUCCAACCAAAAGUGUCGGUACAAACAAACAAUGUCCACUCCGACUAUUUCGAUCUGAAUCGUUCAACAAGACAAGGCUGUCCUCUUUCACCUCUGCUUUUUGCAUUGGCUAUUGAACCUUUAGCUCUUCUACUGCGCUCAACAGACGAAUAUACAGGGAUCAGAAGGGGAAAAGCAGAACAUAAAGUCUCGCUUUAUGCAGAUGAUUUACUACUGUAUAUUUCUAACCCUGCAAAAUCAGUCCCAGUCAUCAUGGAAAUUUUGCAGAAUUUUGGAGAAGUGUCAGGAUACAAAUUGAAUUUAUCUAAAAGUGUGCUAUUCCCAGUCAACUCUAAAGCAAUAGGUAACCCAAGUUGUUUCAGUACCUUGCCAUUUUGGGUUUCUAAACAAUUCCAAUAUCUUGGAAUAAAUGUCACUCAGGAUUAUUGUGGUUUAUUUAAACACAAUCUCUCUAAACUAUAUGAUGAAACCAAAAAUAACAUAGACAAAUGGAUUAAUCUACCAAUUCCACUAGCAGGGAGGAUAAACAUUGUUAGAAUGAAUAUUCUUCCCAAAUUCUUAUUUUUAUUUCAGUGUAUCCCUAUUGUGAUUAAUAAAGCCUUUUUUAAUAAAUUAGACUCCUUAAUAUCCUAUUUCAUAUGGAACAGAAAGAAUCCAAGGAUCAAGAAAGGCUACCUGCAGAGACCGACAUGUCAGGGAGGGAUGGGGUUACCAUGCUUCCGUCUGUAUUAUUGGUCAUGUAAUGUUCGUUCCAUGUCGUUUUGGUUGCGCACUAAGGGGGCCGACUGGACAACGAUGGAGAAUGAAAGCUGUUACCCUCCUCAUUAGAAGCUAUGGUCUAUUCAGCCCUCCCUAUCCCUAAACAUGACUUUAAAAAUCCUGUAGUCUCUCAUACAAUUAAAAUCUGGACACAGAUAAGGAAACAUUUCGGGUGGAAGGAAGCUUCCAUACUAACUCCACUCAUGAAUAACGCAUCAUUCACACCAUCACUUUCAAACAUUUCAUUUCUCCAAUGGAACCACAAGGGGCUGCACUCAAUAAAGGAUUUAUUCAUCAACAAGGUUUUUCCCACAUUCCGGCAACUGCAAGAAAAAUUUGACUUGCACAGUAAUGACUUUUUCAAAUACUUACAGAUCAGAAGCUUUGUAAGGAGGCUUUUUCCAUCUUUUCCAGGUCGGCCCCCAGACUCUGCCUUAGAUAACUUAUUUCAGUUUGAUCCACUCAAGAAAGGACUAAUAACUUUGUCACAGCUGGAUGGAACUGUCACACUUGACUAUCUGAAAGAGGCCUGGCAGCGUGACCUUGGUACGAGAAUUACAGACAAUCAAUGGACAAAAGCCAAGGAAAAUGUACACUCUUCCUCUGUUUGCAUUCGUCAUGGACUCUUACAGUUUAAAGUGCUACAUAGACUCCAUUUAUCAAAGUUGAAACUGUCAAAAAUGUUCCCCGAUGUAAACUCAUCCUGCGAAAGAUGUAAACAGCAACCUGCUUCACUGGCGCAUAUGUUUUGGACUUGUCCCUGUAUAACAACAUAUUGGAAUAAUGUCUUUCAUAUCUUGUCUAAAAUUCUAAAAAAACCACUUAAGCCAGACCCAAUCUGUGCUUUAUUUGGAGUGAAGCCGGUUGUUGUAGACCUAUCAGCCACCCAAAAUAAUGUGAUACGUUUUGUGACGCUGCUGGCACGCCGUUUGAUUCUACUAAAUUGGAAACAAAGGGUGCCUCCUACCACAUCAGCGUUAAUACAAGAUGUAUUGAGACACUUGCAGCUGGAAAGAAUUAAAUUCCUACUAAAGGGGAGGUUGGAGGAAUUCCAUUCAACCUGGCAACCUUUUAUAGAUUUCUUCAAUACUGUACAGAUAUAAAUGGUCACUGAGCCUCAUUGGUAGUUCGAUAAAUAGCAUCCUCUGUCCAACGUUGUUUGUUGUUGCCUUUUUUUUUUUGUUGUUGUUGUUGUUGUUUUGUUUUUACUUUGUUUAAUUCCUAUUGUAUAUAUGCAAUCAUUUAUAUUUGAAUCUUAGUUGCCUUUAUGAUAAAGAACACUGGAAAACCAAAUAAAGAGAUUUGAGAAAAAAAAAAAAUUUUGAAGCAACACUUUUAAACUAAAGCUUAAACAUAUUAAGUUGAAAUGAAUAAUUGUAGUUGUUACACAAACAUGAAAAAAAUGGAGUAAAUAACACUGACAUGCUUGGUCAUGUAACUGAAAUAUAGAUGGUCAGUUAAUCCAAAAUGUUGUUCCAUUUACUUAAUAUUGUAAACUUAACAUAAUCAAAAUUGUAAUUAAUAUUAAAUAUGAUAAAUGACCUGUAUUUGUACAGCACUUUUCCUAGUCCCUAUGGACCCCAAAGCGCUUUACACUACAUUCAGUCAUCCACCCAUUCACACAGUGGUGAUGGCAGCUACAUUGCAGCCACAGCUGCCCUGGGGUGCAUUGACAGAGUAGGCCUGUUGGUGACCGAGACUGUCGGAGCUGGGGCUCGAACCUGCAACCUUCCGAUUACAAGAAGAACUGCCAACUCUUGAGCCACGAUCGCCGCCUAACAUUCAAAUAUGAAUGUUAUUGUAUUUCACUGGUAGUCUAAGUCUACAAAACCAAACAAACUAAUAUGUAGUUGAGUGUUUCAUAAUACAUGUAUGAAAAAUGACCACAUGUUAACAUUUUUCCAAAUGAAAAUGUAAUUUUCAUAAACAUGGAGAUAACUCGAAAUAAACAAG